rnacentral:sRNA from 1 species
GAAAGUCCUUGCUGGGAAAUCGAAGAUUGAGGACUACUUUCCAGAAUUUGCUCGCUACACUACUCCUGAGGAUGGUGUGUAUGGCUUCCACUCUUGCUGGCUGUUCAUUGCGGUGGUUCUUUUUCAAAUGGUCAGGCUGAAAACCCCCAUCCCCCUCCCACCACUAAACCAUAAAGGAUCUAUAAGAGAAGCAAGAAAAACGCACUCCCACUAAUUCUCAUAUGGAAAAAUCAGGGGUUUGAAGACUUCAGGAGCUACAGUGAUGCUGGCACCCCAGCUCUGCUUGAAUUUUUAAUUACAUUAAUAUGUAUUCCCUUUUUUUAUAGCUACUCCCGAGCCCGGAGAGGACCCACGCGUGACCCGGGCCAAGUACUUCAUUCGAGAUGAGUUUCUGAGGAUCAGCACUGCCAGUGGAGAUGGGCGUCACUACUGCUACCCUCAUUUCACCUGCGCUGUGGACACUGAGAACAUCCGCCGUGUGUUCAACGACUGC